rnacentral:rRNA from 1 species
CCCUACUCCUUUACCGGGGCAGCAGUAGGGAAUCUUCCGCAAUGGGCGAAAGCCUGACGGAGCAACGCCGCGUGAGUGAUGAAGGUCUUCGGAUCGUAAAACUCUGUUAUUAGGGAAGAACAUAUGUGUAAGUAACUGUGCACAUCUUGACGGUACCUAAUCAGAAAGCCACGGCUAACUACGUGCCAGCAGCCGCGGUAAUACGUAGGUGGCAAGCGUUAUCCGGAAUUAUUGGGCGUAAAGCGCGCGUAGGCGGUUUUUUAAGUCUGAUGUGAAAGCCCACGGCUCAACCGUGGAGGGUCAUUGGAAACUGGAAAACUUGAGUGCAGAAGAGGAAAGUGGAAUUCCAUGUGUAGCGGUGAAAUGCGCAGAGAUAUGGAGGAACACCAGUGGCGAAGGCGACUUUCUGGUCUGUAACUGACGCUGAUGUGCGAAAGCGUGGGGAUCAAACAGGAUUAGAAACCC